rnacentral:rRNA from 1 species
CGUCGAGUGGCGGACGGGUGAGUAAUACUUAGGAAUCUGCCCAUUAGUGGGGGACAACUCGGGGAAACUCGAGCUAAUACCGCAUACGCCCUACGGGGGAAAGCGGGGGAUCUUCGGACCUCGCGCUAAUGGAUGAGCCUAAGCCGGAUUAGCUAGUUGGUAGGGUAAAAGCAUACCAAGGCGACGAUCCGUAGCUGGUCUGUGAGGACGAUCAGCCACACUGGGACUGAGACACGGCCCAG